CCCCUAGACGUUCUGGGCUGCACGCGCGCUACAAUAAUACGCACAGCGAGUAUCACCGAGCUCGAAAGGGCAAGGUAAACAAUAGAAAAGGUACUGUAAUGGUUAUAGAUCCUUGUAAUUAUUGAUCUUCAACGAGGAAUUCCUAGUAAGUAUGUGUCAUCAUCACGCACUGAUUACGUCCCAGCCCUUUGUACACACCGCCCGUCGCUCCUACCGAUUGAGUGAGCCGAUGAAACUGCCGGAUGUGGACUAUUCAUAGUCUGCAGAAGAUAUUUGAAUCGUAGCGCUUAGAGGAAGGAGAAGUCGUAACA
rnacentral:rRNA from 1 species